rnacentral:rRNA from 1 species
CCCUUAGAUGUUCUGGGCUGCACGCGUGCUACACUGAUAUUGCCAAUAUGUCAUUCUUAUCCGAAAUGGAUUGGGUAAUCAAGUAAUGAAAUUUCAUGCUUGGAAUCGGUAAUUGCAAUUUUAUCGUGAACGAGGAAUUCCUAGUAAGCACUAGUCAUCAGCUAAUGUUGAUUAUGUCCCUGCCCUUUGUACACACCGCCCGUCGCUACUACUGAUUGAGUGGUCCGGUGAGGCUUUGGGAUCUGAGCGGAAAGAGCGUUUCGCUGUUUCUGCUCGGAAAACUCAGUCGAACCUUAUCAUUUAGAGGAAGGAGAAGUCGUAACA